AGAACGAACGCUGGCGGCAUGCCUAACACAUGCAAGUCGAACGAGACCUUCGGGUCUAGUGGCGCACGGGUGCGUAACGCGUGGGAAUCUGCCCUUGGGUUCGGGAUAACAGUUGGAAACGACUGCUAAUACCGGAUGAUGACUUCGGUCCAAAGAUUUAUCGCCCAAGGAUGAGCCCGCGUAGGAUUAGCUUGUUGGUGAGGUAAGAACUCACCAAGGCGACGAUCCUUAGCUGGUCUGAGAGGAUGAUCAGCCACACUGGGACUGAGACACGGCCCAGACUCCUACGGGAGGCAGCAGUGGGGAAUAUUGGACAAUGGGCGAAAGCCUGAUCCAGCAAUGCCGCGUGAGUGAUGAAGGCCUUAGGGUUGUAAAGCUCUUUACCCGGGAUGAUAAUGACAGUACCGGAGAAGUAACGCCCCGACUAACCGUCCGCGCCAGCAGCCGC
rnacentral:rRNA from 1 species